GGCUUAACACAUGCAAGUCGAGGGGUAACAUUGUGCUUGCACAGAUGACGACCGGCGCACGGGUGCGUAACGCGUAUAGAACCUACCUUUUACAGAGGAAUAGCCUUUAGAAAUGAAGAUUAAUGCCUCAUGGUAUUGUAGACUGGCAUCAGUUUAUAAUUAAAGAUUUAUCGGUAAAAGAUGGCUAUGCGUCCUAUUAGUUAGUUGGUAAGGUAACGGCUUACCAAGACAGCGAUAGGUAGGGGUCCUGAGAGGGAGAUCCCCCACACUGGUACUGAGACACGGACCAGACUCCUACGGGAGGCAGCAGUGAGGAAUAUUGGACAAUGGAGGAGACUCUGAUCCAGCCAUGCCGCGUGUAGGAAGAAUGCCCUAUGGGUUGUAAACUACUUUUAUACAGGAAGAAACACUGGUAUGUAUACCAGCUUGACGGUACUGUAAGAAUAAGGACCGG
rnacentral:rRNA from 1 species